AUCCUUCUGGUUCAGAAUAAUGAUGAUUGGUUUAUUCACAUUUUAUUGUGAAAUGCGCAACCUUAUUUGUUACGACUGGCGCAUAAACCGUCUGAAU